rnacentral:rRNA from 1 species
GCAAACAGGAUUAGAUACCCUGGUAGUCCACGCUGGAAACUAUGAGGACUAGGGGUCGGGGGUUACCGCCCGCGGUGCAGGAGCGAACGCAUUACGGACUACGCCGGGGAAGGACGGUCGCAAGAGGGAAACUCAAAGGAAUUGACGGGGACACGCACAAGUAGCGGAGUAUGUGGUUUAAUUCGAAGCAACGCGAAGAACCUUACCUAAGCUGGACAUCCCAAGGACAUCUCCUUAAUCGGAGAGGUCCCUUCGGGGACAUUGGUGACAGGUGGUGCAUGGUUGUCGUCAGCUCGUGUCGUGAGAUGUUGGGUUAAGUCCCGCAACGAGCGCAACCCUUG